GACGAACGCUGGCGGCGUGCUUAACACAUGCAAGUCGAACGGAAAGGCCUGCUUUCCCUUGUGGAUUGCGGGUACUCGGGUGGCUAACGGGUGAGUAACACGUGAGUGAUCUGCCACCAACUUGGGUAUAAGCCUGGGAAACUGGGUCUAAUUCCCGAUAGGACUGCAGGGUGGUGCCGGUGGUGGAAAACGAUUUUCUAGUGGUUGGGGAUGAGCUCGCGGCCUAUCAGCUUGUUGGUGGGGUAAUGGCCUACCAAGGCGGCGACGGGUAGCCGGGCUGAGAGUGUGGACGGCCACAUUGGGCCUGGGCUACGGCCCAGCCUCCUACGGCAGGCAGCAGUGGGGAAUAAUGCACACUGGGCGGAAGCCUGAUGCAGCGACGCCGCGUGGGGGAUGACGGCCUUCGGGUUGUAAUCUCCUUUCGACCGCGAGGAAGCCACCUGGUUGGAAGGGUGGUGACGGUAGUGGUAGAAGAAGCACCGGCUAACUACGUG
rnacentral:rRNA from 1 species